GAUGAAGAACGUAGCGAAAUGCGAUAAGUAAUGUGAAUUGCAGAAUUCAGUGAAUCAUCGAAUCUUUGAACGCACCUUGCGCCCUUUGGCCAUUCCGAAGGGCAUGCCUGUUUGAGUAUCAUGAACACCUCAACUCUCAUGGCUCGCCAUGAUGAGCUUGGAUUUGGGGGUCUUGCUGGCCUGUGGUCGGCUCCUCUCAAAUGGAUCAGCUUGCCAGUGUUUGGUGGCAUCACAGGUGUGAUAACUAUCUGCGCUUGUGGUUUUCCAUCAGAUAACCUUCAGUGAUGGAGGUUCGCUGGAGCUCAUAAACGUCUCCCCUAAGCGGGGACAGCCCUUUGAAUGUUUGAUCUCAAAUCAGGUAGAACUACCCGCUGAACUUAAGCAUAUCAAUAAGCGGAGGA
rnacentral:misc_RNA from 1 species